CUGACUGCAUCCAAUGUUCUUAUACCCAAUCCAACUGAAUGCCGAGACCAAUGGUGCUUUCCACUCAGUACGUGCUGCAUGAUGGAAAUGUUGUCAAAUCACAUGGCCAAAUCCAACUCUUUUCACUAGAAGGCAGGAAGACAUCUAUGAACCAGGGUCCUAGGGCCCUGGUGCAUGUCAAAUUUCCACCAUCACUCAAUGAGACACUGAAAAUGAAAUGUUUCACUCUCCAUACUAGGAAGCAGCUCAGUGGUUCUGGGUGGAACUUGCAGAAAUAAAGCUGCUCCCUGAUCCAUAGCAAGCAGUAGAAAAUGAAAAGGCAGAAAAUGAAACUGACAGGAGUUGCUCCUGCCCCAGCUCAGAGCCACCCAGACCAGUUUUUCCAGUCACCAGCCUGGAAAGCUCCUUGUCAAUUUCAUUCUCUGCCUUCCAGGCAGCCAGUCCCAUUGGCUGAACAAUUCUGUUUUGGUUCUUCUGGAAUGGAUUUUUUCCCAGAACUCCCUUCCAGUGAAAGAUGUCAGGGUUUGGCUUUUUGUCCCAAUUUGGGACUCUUCUCCAAAAAUAACAUUUCCCAUAGGAAGGGAUUUCCAUUUCUUGGCCAACUGCAGUGAGGUGUGAAGUGCACACAGGUUACUCCCCUGAGAUAUAGAUUAGGGGAGGGCUGGUAAACUUUGCUUUUCCCCUUUAAUUUGCCACACUUUGUGUUUACAGCUUUCAGCCAACUCAGACUUGCACUUCAGUGAGUCCCAUUUUUGGGACUUUUGGAAGCUUCUGUUUGCACAUAUCUCCAAGUCAUCCAAUUCACAUUCUUCAUUAUGUUGCAUGAGGUGAAGAUUUAGCAAAGGAUCCCACACUGACCCUGCAAUCAAUUUGCAAGAUCAGUGUCAAUUCAUACACCCAACAGGACACUAGGAGUCAGGUUCCUAUACACAAUGCUACAGUCCACAGAUCUAGAAAGAAGGGGUUUGACUGCAGAAACACACAGGAUUCUAGGAUACACGACAGCACCUCCUCAUCCCCACAGUUCAGAGUAAGUGCCCAUUUCUGACCUGAAGUUCAGAUCUUUGUUCUCUUGGCACCACAGCUGCAGCUGCCCAAUGUUUGAGAUAAACAUUUGAUUAAGGUUAAAUUUCAAGUCAGUAGAGAUCUCCUGUCCGGCCCAGCUGCCCUGCGUGUGCAGGGGUCUCUGCCAGCCACUGUUACUCCACAUCUGUGAUCCAUGUGG